rnacentral:rRNA from 1 species
UACGGGGGGGGCAAGCGUUGUUCGGAAUUACUGGGCGUAAAGGGCUCGUAGGCGGCCAACUAAGUCAGACGUGAAAUCCCUCGGCUUAACCGGGGAACUGCGUCUGAUACUGGAUGGCUUGAGUUUGGGAGAGGGAUGCGGAAUUCCAGGUGUAGCGGUGAAAUGCGCAGAUAUCGGGAGGAACACCGGUGGCGAAGGCGGUUCUCUGGGCCUUACCUGACGCUGAGGAGCGAAAGCGUGGGGAGCGAACAGG